UACGUAGGGUCCGAGCGUUGUCCGGAAUUAUUGGGCGUAAAGGGCUCGUAGGCGGUUCGUCACGUCGGGAGUGAAAACUCGGGGCUUAACCCCGAGCCUGCUUCCGAUACGGGCAGACUAGAGGCAGGCAGGGGAGAGCGGAACUCCUGGUGUAGCGGUGGAAUGCGCAGAUAUCAGGAAGAACACCGGUGGCGAAGGCGGCUCUCUGGGCCUUACCUGACGCUGAGGAGCGAAAGCGUGGGUAGCGAACAGG
rnacentral:rRNA from 1 species